rnacentral:rRNA from 1 species
GAUGAACGCUGGCGGCGUGCCUAAUACAUGCAAGUCGAGCGAACAGAUGAGGAGCUUGCUCCUCUGACGUUAGCGGCGGACGGGUGAGUAACACGUGGAUAACCUACCUAUAAGACUGGGAUAACUUCGGGAAACCGGAGCUAAUACCGGAUAAUAUUUUGAACCGCAUGGUUCAAUAGUGAAAGACGGUUUUGCUGUCACUUAUAGAUGGAUCCGCGCUGCAUUAGCUAGUUGGUAAGGUAACGGCUUACCAAGGCAACGAUGCGUAGCCGACCUGAGAGGGUGAUCGGCCACACUGGAACUGAGACACGGUCCAGACUCCUACGGGAGGCAGCAGUAGGGAAUCUUCCGCAAUGGGCGAAAGCCUGACGGUGCAACGCCGCGUGAGUGAUGAAGGUCUUCGGAUCGUAAAACUCUGUUAUUAGGGAAGAACAAAUGUGUAAGUAACUAUGCACGUCUUGACGGUACCUAAUCAGAAAGCCACGGCUAACUACGUG